CACAUGGGUAGAUUGUAGAAGAGGGACUCACUGAGUAGAACAGAAUCCUGAGUGCAGAUUAAAGUUCAGUAAUUUUUUAAUGUGCUAAUAUUGUGAAGUAUAUAGCAGGUAACACCAAAAAUGAUUCUUUACUUCUGUGAGGAAAAAAGGCAAUGGCUAAGUCACUAUAAAGAAGAAUAAUUUGGAGAUGAGAAUUUAGUCAAAAUGAUAUUAAAGCAUUACUUGGAGAAGUAAUCCCUGUGGUGAAAGAAAAUAGAUGACACUGAGCAGCCUUGAUGAGCAGGAAGAUUUCUUGGUUGCGUGAGUGAAUAUAACCUUCAGAAAGGUUAUCUAAUUUUGAAAGAGGAAAGCUACAACAAUGCAAUCUGAAUGAAAAUGACCUCAGUUUAUGGCUCCAAAGAAAAUAAACUAAAAAAAGGAUUUAUGUAUAGGAUUGAUUGCUGACAUUCACAUCUAGAAGCAGAGGGGGGCCACUGAGUUAAAAAUAAGCAGUAUUUAAUUUAUUUGUAAAAUAAGUCUCAGGUCUUUUUUCUUAUCCUGGAAGGACAAGCAAUAAUUAAAUUUAAAUCAUAAAUGUUUGGUAGUAAAAAUUCCAUCUAGAGAUAGUGAUUUUGAGCAAUUGUGCUAUUUUACUGUACUUUAUAGCACUUAUAUAUGGGAAAUAUUGUAGCCAGAUUUUUCUUUAAAUGCCUGCCUACAUUUCUAAGUAAGCAUAAUUUAUUAGACUAACAGAACUAUAUAAUGAAGAUUAUUACUUUUAUUUUGUAAUAUCUGUAGUUUCAUUUUUCAGUAUGCUUAUUACACAAUAGUAUGCUUUUUGUGUAAUAUUUAAAUUUUAUUUUUCUUUUAGUGUACUUUUCUCAACAUAUGGCAUUAUGAUUUCAUACAAAUUUAUAUGAAUUGGUGAGUGUAUAAACAGAUGCUGCUUUUUAAUUACCCAACUAAGAAACAAUACAAAUGGGCUCCUACUUACUAUUCAGAUUUUUUCAUUAGCAUAGGGAACCUGCUGCACUGAGUAUUCAGCUCUCGUUAACUCUAUUUACUGCUCCUUAGGCCAUUAUCUAUUAGUUAUUUAAUCAUUUCCAUUUCAGCCUUCCUGCUCCUAGUGCUGGUCCGCAGCUGAUGCUGUUGGUUUGGAUAAAGAGCUUUAAAAUGGAAAACCACUUAAAAUUCCACACUGUCACCAAAGUAAAUGAACACCUUUUCUCCCUUUUGGUUAUUCUUUUGUUGCUGACCAUGGUGUUUCAAGAGGAAUAGUGAAAGGUAAGAAAAAAGAUUUUAAGAGGACCAGAUUUAAGAGAUUCUAAAGCCUUUAAAACAACAUCCUUAAUGAGGCCUUUGCUAAAUAUUUAGGUUGCCACAUUCUAUUUUUUAAGAGACCCACUUUUAGGUAGGUCAUAUAUGUGACCCAAUUCUGAAUGUAGAUAUAAGAUUAAUAGCAUGAUUUUUAAAAACUUUCUCUGCUUGUUCAGGUAGAAAAGAGAGAAGUGGCUUUUCAAAUCAUCUCCUCAAAUCAAUAAUAUUGCUAAUUAUUAAUUUACAUACUCAUCACUACAAAUAUUUAUUCUGUUUACUGUGUGGCAGACAUUGUUCUAAAGCUAGGGGCACAGAAGGGAAGGUAACAGUCUCAUGGGCCUUACUGUUUUACAAUAUUAGCUGCUUUUUCAGUUACCUAUUUCUCCAUGACAAAGCGUCUCAGGACCUAGUGGCUUGAAAAAACAAUUCCUUAUUAUCUCUCAGAGUUUUGCAGUUUGUUGGAGCUCAACUGGACAGUUUUCCCUUGAGAUCUCUCACACAUAGUUAUGGCUGCUGGUGUCACCUGAAGGCUAAACUGGGCUAGGUGUCGUAGAAGGCCCACUCUUAAGGCAGGCAGUUGAUGCCGAUUGUGGGCUGAGUUCAGCCAUGACUGGAUCAGAGCAUCCGUUGGCAAGCUCUCCAUGUGGCACGGGCUUCUUAUAGCUUGGUCACUGGCUAGGUUCCAAAAACAAAUGUUGCAGGACCGAAAAAGCAAGAUUGUCAAAUCGUCAGAGCAUCAUUUCUUUAUCCUAUCUGCCUGCGAAGUCACAGAGCCUGCCUUGAUUCAAGGGUCCCUUUGCAGUGCAUCAGAUCUGGAAGUGCUUGCUGACAGUUUGUCUGAUUUGGAUGAUGCUAACUUUGACAGCCUGGUGAAGGAGGUAUCUGCCAUCUUUUCUCUAUAAAACUAAUAUUAUUUUUCUCUUGUAAUUAAUAUGUUAUUGAUUAGGAAGGGGCAUGAGAGGUACUGGACGUGUUCUCUGUUUUGAUCUGGAUGGACACUACUUUGGUAUAUAUUCAUGUACAAAUACAUCAAGCUAUUCAUUUCUAAAUAGAGCAUUUUACAUACUUGCGUACAAUAUGCUUAAUACCUCAAUUAAAAAAAUAAAUUUAAAAUCAUAGUUGUCAUUUUCACCUUGCCUGGUUGUACUCUAGUUGUUUUGACAAUGAUUCCACUAGUCUCCCAGUUACAAAGUCUAAAAAAACUCAGCCACCUCUGGCUGAGUUUAACUACCUCAGUCCCACCUACAGCUUCCGGCCUCUGUCAUGACUCUAUAAUUCAUUUUCCAGUUGGCACCCAGACUAAUUUUUCUGAAAAAAUGCAAAUGUGAAACUGUUGUUCCUCUGCUUUAAAUUCAUUUCAUCACCCUUAGGAUAAAAUCCAAGUUCCUUGAAUUUUAAGGAGCUCCACGCCUGUCUAAUCGCUCUAAAUUCAUCUCUUGUGGCUUUCUCAGUGUGAAUACAACCUUCCUAACUGGGUUGCUUAUUGAAGUAUGUGCUUACCUAUGACCUAAAAGGCAAAAUAACACUUCAGUGGUUUAUUGAAUGGUAAUUUAGUUCAAUUCUGUUUGAUGAAUAUUACUGAGUUUUAAUUGAGUGCAAGUCUCUGAGCUGGGUACAGAGGUAAGAGUUAUGAUAAGGAAUGAAUAUAGUCCUUGCUUCCUGUUGGGAUAAUAGACGUGUACAAAUUACUCCACUACAGGGCAGAAUCUAAUAAAUGCCCUGAGGAGUAUGAACACAAUACAACGGGAAUUCAUAGGAGGGUGAGAAGAGAGCUCUGCUGAGCAGGGUUUGUCUUAAUGCUGCUGUCCUGAGGAGAAUGAGGCAGACAUUUAAGGGGAAAAUCAGAUAAAAGUAAUUAGCUAGUCCAAAAAAUGAAGGUUCCAGAGAGCCCAGUCUCUUGAUGUGGGUGGCAUAUUUGGUGACUGUGCACAUAAGUUCUUCCACUCCCGGUGAAUACACUUUCACAUUUCUUAAGAGGCUUUUGAAAGUAUUUGCCUUUUGUGUGGUUUUGAUUUUCCUUGCUGAUAGUUACUGUUUCCAUUUUUAUUUUCUUCUUGCAGAGCACUGUGGCUCAUGCAGCGUAGGCUGACCCUCUCUCUCUGAUGCUCAUCCUGGGGCUCUUGUGCUGAGCAUGCUACCCUGAGAGGGAUCUCGGUAAUGUUUAUGGAAAAGGUGUGACCUCAGAUCUUCAUAUUCCAUUAGGUAUCUAAUGUUCCUUUUAUACCUAGUAUUUACAUACAUUAGAAUCCUUGGUUUAUAUAGUGGCUAUGGAGGAACCAACUUUGAUUUGCUGGCAUUGCCAUAACAAGGUACCACACACCUGGUGGCCUAAACAACAGAUUUCUCCCAGUUCUGGAGUCUGGAAGUCUGAGAUCAAAGUGCUGGCAGGAUUGUUUCUUCUGAGGCCUUGCUCGAAGAUCACCAUCUUCUCCCCAUGUCUUCGCAAGGUCUUUCCUCUGUGCCUGUGUCUUAAUCACCUCUUCUCAUAAGAACAUCAGUCCACAUUGGAUUAGAGCCCACCCUAAUGACCUUGCUUAACCCUAAUUAUCUCUUUAAAGGCUCCGUCCCCAAAUAUAGUCACAUUCGGAGGUACUCUGGAACAGGACUUCAAAUUUUGAGGGAACAUGGUUCAAUAUGUAACACCAACCUAUGUCGGAUUUUAGUUGCAUAUAAUUAUUUUUUAAGGACAUAAUUGAUUUUGGUGCAUUUUGUAUACCAGAAAGUUCAAGUUGGGUAAUGCUGCAGUUUAGACUACACGUUUCUAUUCAUGAUAACUGGGACUUCUGUCCAUUGAAGCAUCCUAUAGCUUUGAAUGGUAUUUUAGUCAGGAUCAGGUAAGUCCAAUUCCUUCAUUUUGCAGGUUCACUCUGGUGUCUAAAGUCAAGCAAUUAAAAGUAGACUCUAGAACUCAAGGUCCUUGUUUCCCUAGUUCACCUUGCAAUGUUGCACCUACUUUGUAAAAUACUGCUUAAUUUCCUAAAGAUGACCUGAAAACACUGUAAUAUUUUACAGCCUCUCAUUUGUCAUCAGAAAUAAAAUUAGUAGUACUAGUUUUAGGUUUAACAUUUUUAAUUGUAUUCCAGUGCUUUGAAAAUAUUUGCAAUCCAUGUGUAGUACCCAUGAUAAUUUUUUUGUAAGUGAACUAGAGGUUAUAGAUAGAACAUAUAAGCAAGGCAUACCUGUGUUCAAAUUUUGGCUUCUCACACACAUUGGGAAUUACUUAAACAUUCUCAAUUGCGUUCCCCCGAAUGAAGUUCCGCCAUACUUGGCUCUGAGAAUGUAUCAAAAUAACAAGAAAUAAAAUGUAUGAUCUUCAGAAUAAAACAAAAACCCAUACAGCAAUGUACCAUUUUUACAUCUCCCUACCAUAACUGUAAUAAUGAUUAAAAAAAAUGGUUUCUGGGUCUAUAGUAAUUCUUUAUUUGGUUAUUAUUUUAUUUAUGACUUUGUAAAUUUAAAUCUUUUCCCUGUCAAAUGUGUUUCCAGAUUUAUAAACAUUUAUUACAGUUUUGAAUUUUUUAAAGAAUUUAUAAUACAGUUCAUAACUGUAAAGUAGUUUCACUGAGAGUUGAAUCAAUUAAAAGGAAAGAAAAUUCU
rnacentral:lncRNA from 1 species